rnacentral:lncRNA from 1 species
GCCGUGUAAUACCUCCUCGAGGCAGAAAAAUUCUACUUUCCAUCUGCUUGGCUGCGGAGGACCUUGGGGUGGGCUCAGCGUGGGGGCUGCAGGCAGAAAUGGGUCCAGAAGGCAAGGUCGAGUAGAGGCAGGGUUUUGCCAUGCUGGCCAGGCUGGUCUUGAACUACUUGUCAGGCCUCUGAGCCCAAGUUAAAUCAUCAUAAACCCUGUCACCUGCACGUAUACAUCCAGAUGGCCUGGAGCAACUGAAGAACCACAAAAGAAGUGAAACAGCCAGUUCCUGCCUUAACUGAUGACGUUCCACCAUUGUGAUUUGUUGCUGCCCCACCCCAACUGAUCUCUUGACCUUGUGACAUUCUUCUUCUGGACGAGUCUCAGGAGUUCCCCACCGAGCACCUUGUGACCCCCGGCCCUGCCAGCAAAAGAUAACCACCUUUAACUUUCCACUACCUACCCAAAUCCUAUAAAACUGCCCCACCCCUAUCUCCCUUUGCUGACCCCUUUCUCGGACUCAGCCCACUUGCACCCAAGUGAAUAAACAGCCUUGUUGCUAACACAAAGCCUAUUGGUGGUCUCUUCACAUGGAUGUGUGUAACAUUUGGUUCCGAAACCUGGGACAGGGGGACUCCCUUGGGAGACUGGCCCCGUCCUCACCCUCACUCCGUGAGGAGCUCCACCUACUACCUCGGGUCCUCAGACUAGCCCAA